rnacentral:rRNA from 1 species
GCUCGUGUCGUGAGAUGUUGGGUUAAGUCCCGCAACGAGCGCAACCCUUGAUCUUAGUUGCCAUCAUUUAGUUGGGCACUCUAAGGUGACUGCCGGUGACAAACCGGAGGAAGGUGGGGAUGACGUCAAAUCAUCAUGCCCCUUAUGACCUGGGCUACACACGUGCUACAAUGGACGGUACAAAGAGCUGCAAGACCGCGAGGUGGAGCUAAUCUCAUAAAAUCGUUCUCAGUUCGGAUUGUA